rnacentral:rRNA from 1 species
UACGUAGGGGGCAAGCGUUGUCCGGAAUUAUUGGGCGUAAAGCGCGCGCAGGCGGUAAUUUAAGUUUGGGGUCUAAGCCCGAGGCUCAACCUCGGAUCGCCCUGAAAACUGGGUCACUGGAGUGCAGGAGAGGAAAGCGGAAUUCCACGUGUAGCGGUGAAAUGCGUAGAGAUGUGGAGGAACACCAGUGGCGAAGGCGGCUUUCUGGCCUGUAACAGACGCUGAGGCGCGAAAGUGUGGGGAGCGAACAGG